rnacentral:sRNA from 1 species
UAACCUCAGUGCUAUCACCACCUACUGGUGGU